GAGAGAGAGAGACAGACAUAUAUUUUCUGUCCUGUAGUGAUGAACUGGCUGAAUAAAGUUGCAGAUGUGGGAAAAGGUAUCGCCAGUGGAGUCUGUCGAACAGUUAAUCUGAUCUAAUCCAAAUUGAACAGCGAGGGCUCCACUGAUCCAGACUGGAGAAACCAGGGGAAAUUCAUUCUUCCUAAAUCCACGGCUGUGUUCCAAAUCACACACUAUUAGCCCUAACCCUACACUACACCACAUACUGGAACUGAGGACUAACCCUUUAUACGACUCUGUGAUCAUGUGACAUGGAUUAUAAUUGUAUUAUACUACUACAUUAUGAAAUGGAUAAAAAAAAUAUUUAAUAUCACUUUAUAAACCUCUA